GAUGAAGAACGCAGCGAAAUGCGAUAAGUAAUGUGAAUUGCAGAAUUCAGUGAAUCAUCGAAUCUUUGAACGCACAUUGCGCCCCUUGGUAUUCCGGGGGGCAUGCCUGUUCGAGCGUCAUUACAACCCUCAAGCUCAGCUUGGUGUUGGGCCCCGCCGCCCCGGCGGGCCCUAAAGUCAGUGGCGGUGCCGUCCGGCUCCGAGCGUAGUAAUUCUUCUCGCUCUGGAGGUCCGGUCGUGUGCUCGCCAGCAACCCCCAAUUUUUUUCAGGUUGACCUCGGAUCAGGUAGGGAUACCCGCUGAGCUUAAGCAUAUCAAUAAGCGGAGGA
rnacentral:misc_RNA from 1 species